rnacentral:lncRNA from 1 species
AGAAAAAGCGGGUCGGGCAGCGCCGGCGGGGGAGGCCGAGGCCCCAACUCCUGCGUCCCGGCCACCCGGAGGCGGUUUGGCUGCAGUCUAGGCAGUUUAUCUGUUGUUCCCACUCCGACUCUUUCUGGAUCUCGCCUCCCCUCCUGUCCCCUCCCUCUGCUAAGGUCGGGAAGGGGCAGGGAACACUUUCCUGUCACCUAAGGAAUUUACCUUCAGGCGGAGAGUAACCCAACACAGCCCACACGGGGCCGCGAGCCUGCCCACAGGCCUCGGGCAACCUGGGACUCUGCACCAGCAUAGUUAAAGUUUCAAAAGCUAAGCAGGAAUUGGAAGCAAAGAAGUUAGGGAUACCUGCAACUAUCUGAAGACACAAAUCUCCACAACUGAAGUUUGUACAGCCUGAAUGUACCAGACCCAUCUUUGGAACUCCGAGAAAAAAUGUGUAUCUCACACGUAAGUAGCAUUGUAUGAAUGUGUGUUGAACUGAAUUUUCCCACCCUGACACUUCUCCAGCAUGCUACCUUCAGAGUCUAGCCAUGGGGUAGCUAUCAUUUUGUAUUGCACCAUUUACAUUAUCACUUGAUAGCACUAACAGAAUGCCUCACAUAUAUAUGUAUAUAUAUUAUAUGUAUAUAUAUAGUAGGCACUCAUGAAUAUUUGUUGAAUGGAUAAAUGAACUUUUCAUUGAUAAAGGGGAUUUGGUUUCUUUAUUCUUACUGUAUACCAGGUUAGAUUUCUCUCCUGCCUCAAAUGUCUCAGUGGUUUUCCAUUAAAAUAACUUAUUAGAUCCCACCAGAUCUGACUCAUGUUAAUCUCUAAAGGAGGUAAAAUGAACAAUGAAGAUCCAUGUGAGUAUAUCAAACUGUACAAAG